rnacentral:tRNA from 1 species
GGGAAUGUGGCUUAGUGGUAGAGUGCUUGCCUAGCACUCAUGAAACUUUGGGUUCGAUUCCUCAGUACCA